UUAAAUUGAAGAGUUUGAUCAUGGCUCAGAUUGAACGCUGGCGGCAGGCCUAACACAUGCAAGUCGAGCGGAAACGACAACAUUGAGCCUUCGGGUAAUUUGUUGGGCGUCGAGCGGCGGACGGGUGAGUAAUGCCUAGGAAAUUGCCCUGAUGUGGGGGAUAACCAUUGGAAACGAUGGCUAAUACCGCAUAAUGCCUACGGGCCAAAGAGGGGGACCUUCGGGCCUCUCGCGUCGGGAUAUGCCUAGGUGGGAUUAGCUAGUUGGUGAGGUAAGAGCUCACCAAGGCGACGAUCCCUAGCUGGUCUGAGAGGAUGAUCAGCCACACUGGAACUGAGACACGGUCCAGACUCCUACGGGAGGCAGCAGUGGGGAAUAUUGCACAAUGGGCGCAAGCCUGAUGCAGCCAUGCCGCGUGUAUGAAGAAGGCCUUCGGGUUGUAAAGUACUUUCAGUCGUGAGGAAGGGGAUAUCGUUAAUAGCGGUAUUCUUUGACGUUAGCGACAGAAGAAGCACCGGCUAACUCCGUGCCAGCAGCCGCGGUAAUACGGAGGGUGCGAGCGUUAAUCGGAAUUACUGGGCGUAAAGCGCAUGCAGGUGGUUUGUUAAGUCAGAUGUGAAAGCCCGGGGCUCAACCUCGGAAUAGCAUUUGAAACUGGCAGACUAGAGUACUGUAGAGGGGGUAGAAUUUCAGGUGUAGCGGUGAAAUGCGUAGAGAUCUGAAGGAAUACCAGUGGCGAAGGCGGCCCCCUGGACAGAUACUGACACUCAGAUGCGAAAGCGUGGGGAGCAAACAGGAUUAGAUACCCUGGUAGUCCACGCCGUAAACGAUGUCUACUUGGAGGUUGUGGCCUUGAGCCGUGGCUUUCGGAGCUAACGCGUUAAGUAGACCGCCUGGGGAGUACGGUCGCAAGAUUAAAACUCAAAUGAAUUGACGGGGGCCCGCACAAGCGGUGGAGCAUGUGGUUUAAUUCGAUGCAACGCGAAGAACCUUACCUACUCUUGACAUCCAGAGAAGCCGGAAGAGAUUCUGGUGUGCCUUCGGGAGCUCUGAGACAGGUGCUGCAUGGCUGUCGUCAGCUCGUGUUGUGAAAUGUUGGGUUAAGUCCCGCAACGAGCGCAACCCUUAUCCUUGUUUGCCAGCGAGUAAUGUCGGGAACUCCAGGGAGACUGCCGGUGAUAAACCGGAGGAAGGUGGGGACGACGUCAAGUCAUCAUGGCCCUUACGAGUAGGGCUACACACGUGCUACAAUGGCGCAUACAGAGGGCGGCGAGCCAGCGAUGGUGAGCGAAUCCCAAAAAGUGCGUCGUAGUCCGGAUUGGAGUCUGCAACUCGACUCCAUGAAGUCGGAAUCGCUAGUAAUCGUGGAUCAGAAUGCCACGGUGAAUACGUUCCCGGGCCUUGUACACACCGCCCGUCACACCAUGGGAGUGGGCUGCAAAAGAAGUAGGUAGUUUAACCUUCGGGGGGACGCUUACCACUUUGUGGUUCAUGACUGGGGUGAAGUCGUAACAAGGUAGCGCUAGGGGAACCUGGCGCUGGAUCACCUCCUUAU
rnacentral:rRNA from 1 species